ensembl:misc_RNA
UGGCAGUUAAAGGACAGAAACAGCAAUAAGACUGUCUGGCUCCAUUUUCCCAGUGCCGCCAGCUGGGAGUUAAGCUGACUGACGUUGUGAAAGCCUGGCCCAUUUCGUUCACAGCAGGAAGGUAGG